rnacentral:rRNA from 1 species
UACGGAGGGUGCGAGCGUUAAUCGGAAUUACUGGGCGUAAAGCGUGCGUAGACGGUUAUUUAAGUCGGGUGUGAAAGCCCCGGGCUCAACCUGGGAAUUGCAUUCGAGACUGAAUAGCUAGGGUACGGUAGAGGGAAGUGGAAUUUCCGGUGUAGCGGUGAAAUGCGUAGAUAUCGGGAGGAACACCAGUGGCGAAGGCGACUUCCUGGCCUGUUCUUGACGCUGAGGCGCGAAAGCUAGGGGAGCAAACGGG